rnacentral:rRNA from 1 species
UACGUGCCAGCAGCCGCGGUAAUACGUAGGGUGCAAGCGUUAUCCGGAANUUAUUGGGCGUAAAGGGCUCGUANGCGGUUCGUCGCGUCCGGUGUGAAAGUCCAUCGCUUAACGGUGGAUCCGCGCCGGGUACGGGCGGGCUUGAGUGCGGUAGGGGAGACUGGAAUUCCCGGUGUAACGGUGGAAUGUGUAGAUAUCGGGAAGAACACCAAUGGCGAAGGCAGGUCUCUGGGCCGUUACUGACGCUGAGGAGCGAAAGCGUGGGGAGCGAACAGGAUUAGAUACCCUGGUAGUCCACGCCGUAAACGGUGGAUGCUGGAUGUGGGGCCCGUUCCACGGGUUCCGUGUCGGAGCUAACGCGUUAAGCAUCCCGCCUGGGGAGUACGGCCGCAAGGCUAAAACUCAAAGAAAUUGACGGGGGCCCGCACAAGCGGCGGAGCAUGCGGAUUAAUUCGAUGCAACGCGAAGAACCUUACCUGGGCUUGACAUGUUCCCGACGACCCCAGAGAUGGGGUUUCCCUUCGGGGCGGGUUCACAGGUGGUGCAUGGUCGUCGUCAGCUCGUGUCGUGAGAUGUUGGGUUAAGUCCCGCAACGAGCGCAACCCUCGCCCCGUGUUGCCAGCGGAUUAUGCCGGGAACUCACGGGGGACCGCCGGGGUUAACUCGGAGGAAGGUGGGGAUGACGUCAGAUCAUCAUGCCCCUUACGUCCAGGGCUUCACGCAUGCUACAAUGGCCGGUACAACGGGAUGCGACAGUGCGAGCUGGAGCGGAUCCCUGAAAACCGGUCUCAGUUCGGAUCGCAGUCUGCAACUCGACUGCGUGAAGGCGGAGUCGCUAGUAAUCGCGAAUCAGCAACGUCGCGGUGAAUGCGUUCCCGGGCCUUGUACACACCGCCCGUCAAGUCAUGAAAGUGGGCAGCACCCGAAGCCGGUGGCCUAACCCCUUGUGGGAGGGAGCCGUCUAAG